UAUUUUAAUUGGGGAAGCCCUUAAAAUAUUGGGACAUAUAAAAAAAAGACAAAUCUGUUCCACAGAGUAGCUGUUGACAUUAUAGUUGCGCAGGCACUUUGUUGACUCUAGAGAACCUUGGGCCAAUCGCACAUCCCCGUGGCAACGACUUUGCAUGCGGAUGCCAGUUUCUGUGCCUACUAUGGUGACCACGGGUAACGGGGAAUCAGGGUUCCAUUCUGUACAGGGACCCUGAGAAAUGGCUACCACAUGCAAGGAAGGCAGCAGGCGCACAAAUGACCCACUCCCGACACGGGAAGGUAGUGACGACAAAAAACAAUACAAGACUCUUUAGAUGUAAUUGUAAUGAGUCCACUUGAAAUCCUUUAACUCUGAUCAAUUGGAGGGAAGUCUGGUGCAGAGCCACUGACCCAUGCGUGCUGCAGCUGAAACUCCACUA